UCACGAAUGAUUACAAAGUAUUUGAGCUGCACAUUCUCGACGAAGAAUGGAUGCUGCGAAACUCAGGCAAGAACUCCAGCAGAGAUCACUGAAAAAGGUCCGGUGGGGUCCGCACGCAACGACGUCGGUCAUAGUCAGUAGUUGGUGCCGGUCGUUCAUCAAAAUCGUUUCGCCUCUCUCGGAGCUCCCUCAAAGUCACCGUCGCGGCCUCGAUAACGCGGAAGAGUGAGCCAGUAUCUCGCAUACUCUUGCACGUGAUUAUACCUUCGUAAUUCAAGUGACAGUUGACAGCGUUCUGAUUUUUAAGUGCCUCUUUUUACUUUUUUUUGAACGAAAUAAACAAAAAUUAGCAUCGUCUAGAAAAAUUAAUGAAGACGCGACGAUCCAGCUCUCGGAGUUCGGCUUGGAAAACGCGAUUUUACUUUCGCUCUCGCGAAAGUCUCCUUGCAUCGUACGUGGUUUGCAUAUAAAUGCGGAAUGUUGCUUGGCGUGUAGUAAUUUGUGUGGUCACUUGUUAUUGUUCAUUUUCUGAUACGAGGUGUUACUCAAUCUGUCAUCAAUCGCCGUCGAUCGUUACAAAUUAAAGAAAAGCGUUUUAUAAUCGAAAAAUGCAGUACA